UACGGAGGGUGCGAGCGUUGUCCGGAAUCACUGGGCGUAAAGGGCGCGUAGGUGGCUCGUGCAAGGGGGCGGUGAAAGCCCGGGGCUCAACCCCGGGUCUGCCGUGCCGACUGCGGAGCUUGAGCAGACUAGGGGCAAGUGGAAUUCCGGGUGUAGCGGUGGAAUGCGUAGAGAUCCGGAAGAACACCGGUGGCGAAGGCGGCUUGCUGGGGUCUGACUGACACUGAUGCGCGACAGCGUGGGGAGCAAACAGG
rnacentral:rRNA from 1 species